GGAGGACUGACCAUAAAUGGAGAAUCUGCUGCAGAUUGAAAACCAAUACUGUAAAUAACGGAACUUGAACAACAGUGGGAAUUAUUGAAGGGUUAUUGCUUUUGCUUUCCAGGUGAACAGUUUGCUUGGGCCUGCAAACUUUGCAUUCUUGUUGGAGUACAACAAUGGAAACAAAAAGAAACAAGAAAAUAUACAUAGCAGGGAGAGUCAAGUCUAAUUGGCUUAAACCGUUUUGAUAAAGACAAUUCUAAGAUCAAUAAUCGAGUCACAUCCAAUAGUUUUUAACACUUUUCAGGUCAAGCAAAAUUUCAUAUUGCAAUUCAUAAUUCUGAACUCAAAAAAGUCUAAUGGCCACGACCAUUACAUUAUAUUUAAGGGAGAAUGUUGAAGUCCUAUGUUAAAAAUAAACAAAGAGAAAAAAGAAAAAUAUGUAAACUAAUUAAUAAAAUUUUUAAUAUGAAAUGUGAAACAAAUUGGCUAAUAUCAUUCUUAUUAGGCUAUUAAAAAUACGUAACAUAGGUUUGGAGAGACUCUUAAGCUUAUAUUUUUGUUUGUUUUUUUUUUCUUCUCCAAUUCUUUAACAGAGCAUGGAUUUCAAUCCUAGUUUUUAGAGUUGUUUACUUUUUCUCUUUCUUGGGCUUCGACCCUGUUUUUUUGCACAAAAAAGAUGUGUAGAAAAGCAAGCUGGGGCCAGGUAGCCGCGAAAUGGGUCGGCCAAAUGAUAAAAGGCUUCAUGUUGCCUGGUUGAAGGACCUGCUACCUAAACAGGUUUGACUGCUGGGCCGGUUGGGUAAACAUUCUAUUAAGCAAAUUUUCUAAAAAGCAAACUGAAUGAAUACAUAAUUAUUGCUAAAAACCAAAUUUACUGAAAUUAAAUGGAAGUGUAGCUUCCCAACUCAGUGUUCUCUGUGUCAAAGCCUUCCUGAUGCUUAAAACAGCAGACAUAAUUCAUCUUGGAGAAUAAACUUGUGAGCAAAGUGAGAGCUGCUCCUGCCUCAAAAACUCCCUUCCUCAAUGUCUGACAAUAAGGCGCGUCCUGACCGAAUAUGGUCCUGUAUUUGGUGUGUUGAGCAUUCCUCACAGAACCCACCAGCAAGCAUCCCUCAGCAGCCAAGAACGUAAUCCAGCAGAUGAUGGAAAGGAUAAGUGCACAAGCUCCGCAACCUCCGUGCUUCAGGGCCUUUCUGAAGCAGAAGGAGAAUAGACAGGCCCACCUCAUCGUGAGCACUUGACUCACCAAAAGUAGAACAGUUGCAGUAAUUCCUAAACUUGUUGCAAUCUCUGAGUCGUAGACACAAUAAUUGUACUUGAAUUCAAGGUCAGUAACAACCUUGGCCUGACAAAAAUUUAUAAACCAAAUUUUGUUUAAUAAUGUUCAUGUUUGUACUAAUUUAUUAUUAAAUCCUGUAGUAGUGAAAUGUAAUUGUAAUCCAUGUAUAAAGUUAAAAGCAUUCUAAUUACUAAUUAGAGGCUUGCAAUUACUUACAUCCACAAUAAACAAUUUCUGAUCCAAGAACAGAACUCUGACAUCCAUCAGGCUGCCCCUUGACUGAAUUUACACAGGACAAAGUUUCUUGCUAUGGUCUUUUUUGUCUGCAGAUCUUGCGAGUGUAUAAUUGCUUUGGCUAUUUGCCUUCUUGUAGAUUUAAAAGAAAAAUGAAGAGAGAAAAUUCUUUUGGUAUGCAUAAAGAAAGAAACAGUGAUGAUCUUUAAAUUAAGGAGCAGUACUUACCGUACUUCUCAUCUGCUCAGCUUGAAGAGCAAGCGCAAAAGCAAUGAAAUCAAGAACAAAUACCACCUUGAAUAGAAGUGUUGAUGCCAUUUGCAAGCUCUCUCUCUCCUCUCUCUUUGCGUUUACAAGAUAUACAUUAAUGAGGGAAUAACCAU
rnacentral:misc_RNA from 1 species